UUGUUGAAACUGUUAGAUUUUAGGAGUAUACCACUGAAUUGCCUUUUAGGCAAAGGAAAAAAAAGUGACAAAAAUUGCACAGACAAGAAGACAGCGAUUAUUUGUGUCCUGCAUUUUUCUGUCCAUCACAUAUAAUGAAGGGGGUGGGAGUGAUAUUUUUAUAUGCUUAUUUAAAUGUCCUAAAAAUCUUUUAACCCUAGAACACUAUCGCCGUGAUUAUCACCCGACCAAGCAUGUUUAUGUGAUUUUCAUUAUACUGCGUUUGUCUGAGUAUCAUGGGACCCUGGGUAGCUUCAGCAUUGCCUUUGACAUCUUUAAAGGCAUAUUUGUUUCCCUGAUCCAAAACCUGCUUUUUCCUACAGGCACGUGUUCAGGUGAUUUUCACCCGGCAAUAGAGAUAGAGGGUAAAGUGGGUUUAGGUGGAUUUGAUAGCUGCAUGUAGGCGAAUAAGGUCAGUAAGAGUGAUCCUGGAAUUUGCAUGCUAUCUUUAUUUAGUGCAGUGGUUAUGAAUAACUAUCACAAAGUUGUGAUUUUAAGGGAAUUCAUAUAGUGAUAAGAAAUAUUUUAGUCAGCUGGUCAUUUUCACUCACUCAAAAUAUGUCACAUUUUGGUUUUCUCCCCUGCAGCUGUUAUUGUGCCAAGGACCCUGAGUCUUCACCAGGGAAGACUCACAUGCCCCAGGAAUGGGUGGAAAAGAAACUAAGUUUAUAGUUUCUAUAUAAUUUUUUAAGGAAUUUUUUGUUCAUGAAUACCUAAUUUCAGUUAUUUAGCAGUUCUAUGCAAUAAUAAUAAUAAAAAGAAUAAUUGUACCAGUUGAA